AUUGAACGCUGGCGGCAGGCCUAACACAUGCAAGUCGAGCGGUUGAAGGGUGCUUGCUCCUGGCUUCCGCGGCGGACGGGUGUGUAAUGCCUAUGAUUCUGCCUGGUAGUGGGUUAUAACGUCCGGACACGGGCGCUAAUACCGCAUACGUCCUUAUGGUGUAUUUUGUGGAUCUUCUGUCCUCACGCUCUCAUAUGAUCCUAGGUCGCAUUAGCUAGUUGGUUGGGUAAAGGCCUACCAAGGCUACGAUCCGUACAUUGUCUGAGAGGAUGAUCAGUCACAGUGGAAGGGAGAAACGGACAAGAGUGCGACGGGAGGCAGAAGAGGGGAAAAUUGGAAAAUGGGCGAAAGCAUGAACCAGCAAAGCCGCGUGUGUGAAGAAGGUCUUCGGAUGGUAAAGCAAUAUAAGUAGGGAGGAAGGGAAGUAAGUUAAAACCAUGAUGUAUUGACGUUACCAAGAGAAUAAGCACCGGCUAACUACGUG
rnacentral:rRNA from 1 species